rnacentral:rRNA from 1 species
CGGCGAGCGAAAAGAAAAUAGUUCAGCACUAAGUCACUUUGUCUUUAUGGCAAAUGUGAGAUGCAGUGUAUGGAAUGUCAAUUUUCUAGUAUGAGAAAUUAACGAUUUAAGUCCUUCUUAAAUGAGGCCAUUUACCCAAAGAGGGUGCCAGGCCCGUAUAACGUUAAUGAUUACUAGAUGGCAUUUCCAAAGAGUCGUGUUGCUUGAUAGUGCAGCACUAAGUGGGUGGUAAACUCCAUCUAAAACUAAAUAUAACCAUGAGACCGAUAGUAAACAAGUACCGUGAGGGAAAGUUGAAAAGAACUCUGAAUAGAGAGUUAAAUAGUACGUGAAACUGCUUAGAGGUUAAGCCCGAUGAACCUGAAUAUCCGUUAUGGAAAAUUCAUCAUUAUGAUUUUAAUAUUUAUAAUAUUAUAAUAAUGGUGUGCAUUUUUUCUAUAAAGGACAUUGUAAUCUAUUAACAUAAAUUAAUUUAUCAUAAGAUCAUUUGCGUAAGUUUAUUCAAAUUAUUUUGCUUGCAUUUUAAUAUCGAAUAAAUGCUUUUGAUUUGAUAAAGUGUUGAUAGAUUUAUUAUAUACAGUGCUUAAAUAUUUAUAUUUUAUAAUAGCAUAUUAAUCAAUGAUUUUUAUGUUCAUUAUAUGCACUUGUAUGAUU